rnacentral:rRNA from 1 species
UACGUAGGGAGCAAGCGUUGUUCGGAAUGACUGGGCGUAAAGGGUGCGCAGGCGGUCUGUUAAGUCAGCGGUCAAAGCCCGGGGCUCAACCCCGGCCCGCCGUUGAAACUGGCAGUCUCGAGUUGGAGAGAAGUAUGCGGAAUGCGCGGUGUAGCGGUGAAAUGCAUAGAUAUCACGCAGAACUCCGAUUGCGAAGGCAGCAUACCGGCGCUCAACUGACGCUCAUGCACGAAAGCGUGGGUAUCGAACAGG